rnacentral:rRNA from 1 species
AUGUGCAGAAUCCAGCUUGGGCAACCUGCUACCGUGCAAGUUGCAUCCAACUUAGUUAGGUUACUGGCCUAUCAGAACAAGAGCUUGUUGCAAGCUGGAAUGAUUGUUGGUGGAUGGGACAAAUAUGAGGGAGGACAAAUUUACUCGGUCCCUCUUGGUGGAACGAUUCUGAAGCAACCAUUCGCAAUUGGAGGAUCUGGUUCUAGUUACCUGUAUGGAUUCAUGGAUCAUGAAUGGAAAGAGGGUAUGACCCAGGAAGAAGCUGAGAAGUUUGUGGUGAAGGUGGUUUCCCUUGCUAUUGCUCGCGAUGGUGCUAGUGGAGGGGUUGUUCGCACUGUUACUAUUAACGAGGAGGGCGUUAAAAGGAGCUUCCACACUGGUGAUGAGCUGCCACUGUGGCAUGAAGAGCUGGAACCACAGAAGUCGCUCCUUGACAUUCUCGCAGCUCAGAGCACUGAUGCAAUGGUCCAUUGA